AGAAGGAAAGAGAGAGGCCUGUCUGACCUUGGGUACACACCUAGCAAAAGGCAUAAGAUUCACCUACAUCAGUCAAAGUCCUCCCUUGAGGAUCACCAUGUGGAAGCUCUGGGGAUUUCACAACCAGCGCAGUGAACUCCAGAUGAACUCGGAUGAUCCUUUUUUUUCCUAAUCCAGCAGCCAGGAGACAGUGAAGGGGCACUGCUGUGGGCAUGAGUACAAAGUUCUCUUCCACAGGCUGUUGUUACCACUCUGACGAACUGACACAGGUGGUAAGUCAGAAGACAAGGGAGCCGAUUCUCUGCUUCUACCUUGUGGGUCUUAUGGAGCGAACUCAGAUCAUCAGACUUGGCAGCAAGCACCUUUACCCAGUGAGCCAUCCUGCUGACCUUUCGUCAGAUGACCUUGUGAUAAGCUGGAGGAGCGUUAUCACCACUGGUCAGGAGCAUGGAGAACCUAACGAUGCCUUCCUCUGUUUUCCUUGGCAUUUGUCAGCAAUGCUUGGUGCAACACUGAAGUCUGCUCUGCCAGCCUGGCUUAUAAAAUUAAGACAAUGAAAUCACAACGAGCCUUAGUAACCACGCCUUCACAAACAGGUGCCAUGUUAUUGCAGCACAUCCUAGCUUCUCUGGACUGCACCGCCAGCUUUCUCACAAUUUAAAAUGAGUUGUAUAAUUUGCCGAAUUUCCAACACUCAAUAGCUU